GAUGAAGAACGUAGCGGAAUGCGAUAAGUAAUGUGAAUUGCAGAAUUCAGUGAAUCAUCGAAUCUUUGAACGCACAUUGCGCCCAUUAGUAUUCUAGUGGGCAUGCCUGUUCGAGCGUCAUUAAUUCCACUUAAGCCCUGCUUAGUGUUGGGAAUCUACUCUAGUGGUGCUACCCUGGAGCUACCCCUGAAAGGGGGCUGGCCCGGUAGCUACCCUGUAGUUCCUCAAAGAUAGUGCGCGGAGUUGCGUGGUCCUCUGAGCUUAGUAACUAUACACCUAGCUUUUGAGUGUCCCGCGGCGCCUGCCGUUUAAACCCCAUCUUUUAAUGGUUGACCUCGGAUCAGGUAGGAAUACCCGCUGAACUUAAGCAUAUCAAUAAGCGGAGGA
rnacentral:misc_RNA from 1 species